AGGCGCGUAGCUCAGCGGUAGAGCACUGCUAUUACCUGGCAGAGGCAUGUGGUUCGACUCCCAUCGCGCCUACCA
rnacentral:tRNA from 1 species